CGCGUAGGCGGUCUUUUAAGUUCCGUGUGAAAUCCCUCGGCUCAACUGGGGAACUGCACGGGAAACUGGAAGGCUUGAGUUCGGGAGAGGGAAGCGGAAUUCCGGGUGUAGCGGUGAAAUGCGUAGAUAUCCGGAGGAACACCGGUGGCGAAGGCGGCUUCCUGGACCGACACUGACGCUGAGGCGCGAAAGCUAGGGGAGCAAACG
rnacentral:rRNA from 1 species